rnacentral:rRNA from 1 species
GUGCUUGCACUCGUGGAUCAGUGGCGAACGGGUGAGUAACACGUGAGUAACCUGCCCUCCACUCUGGGAUAAGCGCUGGAAACGGCGUCUAAUACUGGAUACGACCGACCCUCGCAUGGGGUGUUGGUGGAAAGAUUUAUCGGUGGUGGAUGGACUCGCGGCCUAUCAGCUUGUUGGUGGGGUAAUGGCCUACCAAGGCGACGACGGGUAGCCGGCCUGAGAGGGCGACCGGCCACACUGGGACUGAGACACGGCCCAGACUCCUACGGGAGGCAGCAGUGGGGAAUAUUGCACAAUGGGCGAAAGCCUGAUGCAGCGACGCCGCGUGAGGGAUGACGGCCUUCGGGUUGUAAACCUCUUUCAGCAGGGAAGAAGCUUUUGUGACGGUACCUGCAGAAGAAGCACCGGCUAACUACGUGCCAGCAGCCGCGGUAAUACGUAGGGUGCGAGCGUUGUCCGGAAUUAUUGGGCG